rnacentral:rRNA from 1 species
GACUCUCGGCAACGGAUAUCUUGGCUCUCGCAUCGAUGAAGAACGCAGCAAAAUGCGAUACGUGGUGUGAAUUGCAGAAUCCCGUGAACCAUCGAGUUUUUGAACGCAAGUUGCGCCCGAAGCCAUUAUGCUGAGGGCACGUCUGCCUGGGCGUCACG